UUGUCAUGUGAAGCGGAGAGAGGCACCAACACAGGGAGAAGCUCAAGGCAAAGUAAGAUGGCGGAAGGCAGCGAGAGAAGAGGAAAGCAGCUUUUCAGAGGUAUCUGGGAAGAGAAGUAUGUGCAGUCAGCUGGAAUGUUCUCUCAAGCAAACAAUCAUCUCUGCUCCAAGACCAUGUGUCAGUUUCAAUAUUCUACUUCCAAGCCAGGAUUUCCUGGGGCCAGUUUUUCUGCCUGGAUAAUUCUCCUAUCAACCUGUUUGAGCCAGUCUGGGACAGUUUCUGCAGGUUUGUUUUUCAUGACUCAAGAAUAACUAUAUCCUCACUCCCUUGCCCCAAUCUGGAAUUUGGGACCAUCAGAAAUGAAAAAGUGUGACCAAUAGAAUAUCUUGAUGUCCCAGAGUGGUUCUGCACAAAUUUAAAGCAGCUCCUACCGUCUUUGCCUUUCGAUCACACUACUUUAGCCAGAUUUCCAUGUAAAUGAUGUUAUCAUAUGUGAUAUAUAUAUUUUAGAGGAACUACUGUUAGGUUUUCUUGUGUAUUCAGUUGAAGGUGGAAUUAUAAGCAAAUGAAUGAAUAGAGGCCAUCACACUGUGUCCCUGCUCACAUAGUGAACGUGGAUCUUUCUGCAUUAGUAUUCUACAACAUCAUAGUGAUAUAUCAUUAAUUAAAACAGCCUUAAUAUUGCUCUUACAAUAGCAGGCUGACGCUUUAAGACAGAAACAAUAUCUAGUAUGGAAAUCACCUUGGCUGUAUUUUUAGCCAUGGAUGAUUGAAUAAGCUGCAUUUGACUAGUUGAUCUUGAGCCUUUCCUUGUUCCUGGAGGACAUCACACACUAGUUUCCAGCCAGAUCUCUGGAAGCUUGUCCAUAUACAGCCUUCCAUGUUCAGAUAGGUGCAUUUUGGAAAAAAUUGCAUUAUGUUUCAAGUCAGCCUAGGAUGCAUUAGAGGCAUGAUGGGCAUGGUUCUUUAUUUUCAACCCACAUGUGGAUAUUUCUAAGGAGCACCUUAUAUGUUUGAUCAUUUUCCAAGAGCUGUGUUCACAUUGAAGGAUUUUUGCUAUCAGAUUGAAAAUUCUAAUAUAAUCUCUCAAUAUAUUCAGGUACUCGGCUGUAGGCUCGUUUUUAAGACAGUAGAUACGGUAGCUACUACUUAAUAUUUUCAGCAGUGUCCCCAAUAUAAUGCAUACUGAGGGAAAUUUUAAAUCACAGUUCAAAGACUCAGCCAUUGAAAGUAAGGAGCAAUAUUCCAGUCAUCUAUAAAAAACUAUUUUUAUUUUUUUAAUUAUUUUUUUAUUCGUGUAGAUUGACUUUUCCUUAUUAAUCUGGAAUGAACAACCAGAGAUGGGUCUUCAACAAAAAAAGUGUUAUAUCACUCAAAGGAUGAAAGUCAGUUGCAAUUCACAUGCACCUGAAGAAUAUUGUGGAAUAGGAAGUGCUUGCUUUUGACUGACCAGAUUAAAAAAGUAACAAAAAACAGCUUAUUCAGAUAUUCAGUCUUUAUUAUGGUCACAAACUAGCACAAAAAGUUAUUUUUUCAUGUUUACAGUGAUUGUAGGACACAAAAUCUGUUUGUUAAGGUUUAAUAAAACAACAAAUGGAGAAAUAUUACACUUCUGAUCUAUUUUUCCACUGAAUUUUGUUAACACAAUUUGGGAGCCUGCAAAAGGUGGAGGGGAGGCCGAGGCACAUACCCAUGGUGUGAAUUCAUUCAUUAUAACAUGUCCAAUUUAGCAUUUCAUAAAGGGCAAAAAUUCUUUAGUGAAAGAUCUUGAUUAACGUUAUAAACACCAAAAGAAAUGGCAAUUGCUUCCUAUUGGCUUCUCUUUUUCCGCUUUUCUGUCUAGAUUCUCCUCCCUCAGAAACAGGCUUGAGGUAGAGAUUAAGGGAAAGAACUCAAAUUACAGUUUCCCUCUGGGUUUCCUGUUCCUUUUCUGCACCUUUGAUGCAGCUAUUGUUGUAUACUUGGUGUGUGUGGGUGGAGCAAUAGAUACACAGCAGAAUCAGCAAGUAGCACUCCCCCAAAACCUCUAUUUUUCCUCUCUUUUUGGGUGUGUAAGGGCUGUACUAAAGAUCAUAGCUGUGCUUUUAAAAGCAUAUUCUCUUGACACUCUCCAAUUGCUCAAAUGUGAAACUCAGCCCUAAACCUCUAGUUUCACUUAUCCUAUCUCUAAUGUAGCUUUAUAAGGCUGUAGGGAAAAUACAUAUAAUUUCAGUACAGUACAGAACACUUUGUUUGUAGGCAGGGGACAUAUUUGUAUAGUUGUAGUGCUGAACUUAAAAUACACUU